rnacentral:rRNA from 1 species
GGUUAAGCGACUAAGCGUACACGGUGGAUGCCCUGGCAGUCAGAGGCGAUGAAGGACGUGCUAAUCUGCGAAAAGCGCCGGCGAGGUGAUAUGAACCUUUGACCCGGCGAUGUCCGAAUGGGGAAACCCAGUGUGUUCCGACACACUAUCGUUAACUGAAUACAUAGGUUAACGAGGCGAACCGGGGGAACUGAAACAUCUAAGUACCCCGAGGAAAAGAAAUCAACCGAGAUUCCCCCAGUAGCGGCGAGCGAACGGGGAGCAGCCCAGAGUCUGAAUCAGCUUGUGUGUUAGUGGAAGCGUCUGGAAAGUCGCACGGUACAGGGUGAAAGUCCCGUACACGAAAGCACACAGGCUGUGAACUCGAAGAGUAGGGCGGGACACGUGGUAUCCUGUCUGAAUAUGGGGGGACCAUCCUCCAAGGCUAAAUACUCCUGACUGACCGAUAGUGAACCAGUACCGUGAGGGAAAGGCGAAAAGAACCCCGGCGAGGGGAGUGAAAAAGAACCUGAAACCGUGUACGUACAAGCAGUGGGAGCCUCUUUUAUGGGGUGACUGCGUACCUUUUGUAUAAUGGGUCAGCGACUUAUAUUCUGUAGCAAGGUUAACCGUAUAGGGGAGCCGAAGGGAAACCGAGUCUUAACUGGGCGUUAAGUUGCAGGGUAUAGACCCGAAACCCGGUGAUCUAGCCAUGGGCAGGUUGAAGGUUGGGUAACACUAACUGGAGGACCGAACCGACUAAUGUUGAAAAAUUAGCGGAUGACUUGUGGCUGGGGGUGAAAGGCCAAUCAAACCGGGAGAUAGCUGGUUCUCCCCGAAAGCUAUUUAGGUAGCGCCUCGUGAACUCAUCUUCGGGGGUAGAGCACUGUUUCGGCUAGGGGGCCAUCCCGGCUUACCAACCCGAUGCAAACUACGAAUACCGAAGAAUGUUAUCACGGGAGACACACGGCGGGUGCUAACGUCCGUCGUGAAGAGGGAAACAACCCAGACCGCCAGCUAAGGUCCCAAAGUCAUGGUUAAGUGGGAAACGAUGUGGGAAGGCACAGACAGCCAGGAUGUUGGCUUAGAAGCAGCCAUCAUUUAAAGAAAGCGUAAUAGCUCACUGGUCGAGUCGGCCUGCGCGGAAGAUGUAACGGGGCUAAACCAUGCACCGAAGCUGCGGCAGCGACGCUUAUGCGUUGUUGGGUAGGGGAGCGUUCUGUAAGCCGUUGAAGGUGUCCUGUGAGGGGUGCUGGAGGUAUCAGAAGUGCGAAUGCUGACAUAAGUAACGAUAAAGCGGGUGAAAAGCCCGCUCGCCGGAAGACCAAGGGUUCCUGUCCAACGUUAAUCGGGGCAGGGUGAGUCGACCCCUAAGGCGAGGCCGAAAGGCGUAGUCGAUGGGAAACAGGUUAAUAUUCCUGUACUUGGUGUUACUGCGAAGGGGGGACGGAGAAGGCUAUGUUAGCCGGGCGACGGUUGUCCCGGUUUAAGCAUGUAGGCGGAGGUUCCAGGUAAAUCCGGUUCCUUAUUAACGCUGAGGUGUGAUGACGAGGCACUACGGUGCUGAAGUAACAAAUGCCCUGCUUCCAGGAAAAGCCUCUAAGCAUCAGGUAACAUCAAAUCGUACCCCAAACCGACACAGGUGGUCAGGUAGAGAAUACCAAGGCGCUUGAGAGAACUCGGGUGAAGGAACUAGGCAAAAUGGUGCCGUAACUUCGGGAGAAGGCACGCUGAUAUGUAGGUGAAGCCCCUGCGGGUGGAGCUGAAAUCAGUCGAAGAUACCAGCUGGCUGCAACUGUUUAUUAAAAACACAGCACUGUGCAAACACGAAAGUGGACGUAUACGGUGUGACGCCUGCCCGGUGCCGGAAGGUUAAUUGAUGGGGUUAGCGGCAACGCGAAGCUCUUGAUCGAAGCCCCGGUAAACGGCGGCCGUAACUAUAACGGUCCUAAGGUAGCGAAAUUCCUUGUCGGGUAAGUUCCGACCUGCACGAAUGGCGUAAUGAUGGCCAGGCUGUCUCCACCCGAGACUCAGUGAAAUUGAACUCGCUGUGAAGAUGCAGUGUACCCGCGGCAAGACGGAAAGACCCCGUGAACCUUUACUAUAGCUUGACACUGAACACUGGUCCUUGAUGUGUAGGAUAGGUGGGAGGCUUUGAAGCGUGGACGCCAGUCUGCGUGGAGCCAACCUUGAAAUACCACCCUUUAAUGGCUGGUGUUCUAACGUAGACCCGUGAUCCGGGUUGCGGACAGUGUCUGGUGGGUAGUUUGACUGGGGCGGUCUCCUCCCAAAGAGUAACGGAGGAGCACGAAGGUUAGCUAAUCCUGGUCGGACAUCAGGAGGUUAGUGCAAUGGCAUAAGCUAGCUUGACUGCGAGAGUGACGGCUCGAGCAGGUGCGAAAGCAGGUCAUAGUGAUCCGGUGGUUCUGAAUGGAAGGGCCAUCGCUCAACGGAUAAAAGGUACUCCGGGGAUAACAGGCUGAUACCGCCCAAGAGUUCAUAUCGACGGCGGUGUUUGGCACCUCGAUGUCGGCUCAUCACAUCCUGGGGCUGAAGUAGGUCCCAAGGGUAUGGCUGUUCGCCAUUUAAAGUGGUACGCGAGCUGGGUUUAGAACGUCGUGAGACAGUUCGGUCCCUAUCUGCCGUGGGCGCUGGAGAAUUGAGGGGGGCUGCUCCUAGUACGAGAGGACCGGAGUGGACGCAUCACUGGUGUUCGGGUUGUCAUGCCAAUGGCACUGCCCGGUAGCUAAAUGCGGAAGAGAUAAGUGCUGAAAGCAUCUAAGCACGAAACUUGCCCCGAGAUGAGUUCUCCCUGAGACUUUAAGUCUCCUGAAGGAACGUUGAAGACUACGACGUUGAUAGGUCGGGUGUGUAAGCGCAGCGAUGCGUUGAGCUAACCGAUACUAAUGAACCGUGAGGCUUAACCUU